rnacentral:rRNA from 1 species
UACGAAGGGUGCAAGCGUUACUCGGAAUUACUGGGCGUAAAGCGUGCGUAGGUGGUGAGUUAAGUCUGUCGUGAAAUCCCCGGGCUCAACCUGGGAACUGCAUUUGUGACUGUAGAGCUGGAGUACGGCGAGAGGGGGAUGGAAUUCCGCGUGUACAGUGAAAUGCGUAGAUAUGCGGAGGAACACCGAUGGCGAAGGCAGGUCUCU